rnacentral:rRNA from 1 species
GAUGAACGCUGGCGGCGUGCCUAAUACAUGCAAGUCGAGCGAACAGACGAGGAGCUUGCUCCUCUGACGUUAGCGGCGGACGGGUGAGUAACACGUGGAUAACCUACCUAUAAGACUGGGAUAACUUCGGGAAACCGGAGCUAAUACCGGAUAAUAUAUUGAACCUCAUGGUUCAAUAGUGAAAUACGGUUUUGCUGUCACUUAUAGAUGGAUCCGCGCCGCAUUAUCUAGUUGGUAAGGUAACGGCUUACCAAGGCCACGAUGCGUAGCCGACCUCAGCGGAUGAUCGGCCACAUUGGAACUGAGAAACGGUCCAGAAUCCUACGGGAGGCAGCAUUAGGGAAUCGUCCGCAAUGGGCGAAAGCCUGACGGAGCAACGCCGCGUGAGUGAUGAAGGUCUUCGGAUCGUAAAACUCUGUUAUGAGGGAAGAACAAAUGUGUAAGUAACUAUGCACGUCUUGACGGUACUUAAUCAGAAAGCCACGGCUAACUACGUG